ACUGCACAGAGAUGGAACCUGAUGAAACGGCCCCAUUUGAGUGCCUGCUGUAUCGUGUUGGCUCUGCUUCCUGCAGCUGUGCUCCGAGAUGAGCCUUUCAGUCAUCGCUCCCUAAUAGCCCCAUCUCCCCGAAUUUGGGAGGACGCACAUUCCUCUCCUUGCUCACAUGCCCCACUUCAAGCCAUCUGCACACUCUACAGGGAACUUGCCUCCUGACGUCCUGAUGUGCAACGCCAUCCAAAUCCUCUGCUGGAAUCUCACUAUUCACACCACUGAUGCCCCUGGAGCAUGAAACAGAAAGAAUGACAUCCUGUGCUCAGCAGGUCUCUUCCCCCUCAUUCCAGACAUCAGGGUAGGAGUAUUACGGAGGUCCCACAGAAGAACUUGGCGACUGUCACCUGCCUUGCAAAUCGAACAUAUGUUAGAAAGAUGCACGCUCACAAGACCCACAGCCGGCUUGGUCAGCCACAUCUGUCAUUCCUCCCACCAGGAAAGCCGAAUUCCUCCCAGAGCUGUAAACCUCACAUCUCACUGAAUCUCUGGACACCAUCACCCAGGGGCUGCGAUCAGGAGGGCCCGCUGGUAACGACUUAACCAGCUGAGGUUCCAGUGCACUUCAGGGGUUUACAGGACUGUGCCUUGAAGGAAGUGUUCCCUGCUGCUUUGGGAAAACGGGCAAUUGUAAAUCAGGUAACAAUGAGGCCCUGACUUAUUUAUCCUUCUACAGGUUUUACAUACUAGGGCCAGCAAGGGACACAUUUGCCCAGCUCAUGGCUGAUUUGCAGAGUCAGCACUUUAGGUAAGACCAGCCCGCCUUGCUCAGCGGGACGGCAUGUGCUGGGGGCUUCGAGGAACCAACGCACCCUGUGGUGCUGAGGCCUUAUCUUGUCUCUUGGUCUGGACCAAAUGCCAUCUUUCAGAGACAUGAGAUACAGAAUGGGAAGUCACCAAACAGUGGGAAAUUCUUCCUCUGGUGCUAAAAGUGCUUUUUCCCCUCUCUCCCUGGCCUCCUCCACGUUCCUCCUCCUUUAGAGGGAACAUUUGCCUGGAGAACAGCUGCACCCUUGUGAUCCCAGAAAUGAUAGGGAACCAUUAAAACAGGAACAGCGGCGAUAAAUGAAGCUUUCAGGCCUUUGGCUUGUACUAAUUAGCAAUCAAGGCCAAAGCUGAACCCAAUGUCCCAUAAUAAAUUAUGACACAUCCUUACAAGAGAAUAUUAGGCAGCUAUUAAAAAUAAUGUUUUCAAAGAAUUUUUAUGGCACUGAAAACUGCUUAUGAUAUGAAGUGAAAUGAAGGAAAGAUGUAAAGCCCACAUAUAGAACACGGAAUACCAAUGACCUGAAAGACUACCUGAAAAUACUGUAAAACGGGAACUGCGAUUAUCUCUGCAGGAAAAAUUAUGUGUGCAUUUUAUGUUUCUCUCUUAUUAUAUUUUAAACAUUUCCUAUAUUAGGCAUUCGUGGCUUUUGUUUAUUAAAAAUAAAAUAAAAUAAAUAAA
rnacentral:lncRNA from 1 species